CAGCAGCCGCGGUAAUACCAGCCCCGCGAGUGGUCGGGACGGUUAUUGGGCCUAAAGCGCCCGUAGCCGGCCCGGCAAGUCCCUCCUUAAAGCCUCGGGCCCAACCCGAGGACGGGGGGGAUACUGCCGGGCUAGGGGGCGGGAGAGGCCGGCGGUACUCCCGGGGUAGGGGCGAAAUCCGUUAAUCCCGGGAGGACCACCAGUGGCGAAGGCGGCCGGCUGGAACGCGCCCGACGGUGAGGGGCGAAAGCCGGGGGAGCGAACCGGAUUAGAUACCCGGGUAGUCCCGGCUGUAAACGAUGCGGGCUAGCUGUUGGGCGGGCUUAGAGCCCGCCCAGUGGCGCAGGGAAGCCGUUAAGUCCGCCGCCUGGGGAGUACGGCCGCAAGGCUGAAACUUAAAGGAAUUGGCGGG
rnacentral:rRNA from 1 species